rnacentral:lncRNA from 1 species
CUCAGCCCCACCUAUUUCCAAAGCCCAUGCUCUGGAGGUGCUAACAUGUAACUGUGGCAACUAAGAACACCCUGUGAACAGCCUAAAGAGAAGCCAGGUGUCACCCAAGUUCAUCCUGACAAAUCACUACUAAAUGUUACAAAGCCAGGCGUGUAAGUAACUUUUCCCUUUAUCUGGAGACUGGUGAAUCAAUUCCAAAAUACUGGAAAAUAAAUGUAAAUAAAAUAAGGGCCUAUCGUCCUUGACUUUCUCUGUGGGCCUAGCCAACAGUAAAAGUGAGUAUUUUCAUCCCUAUUAACAUAACCUUAGUCAUUUUGUGUGGGUGUUUUCCCUUUAAGUACUUCUUGCAUUUCCCAUUUGGCAAACCAUCCUUUUAAAGCACCUCCUCUUCUAAGGGCUUUCUUUGUUUCUGAAUCUCCCUUUAACAACCUCAACACCUUUUUGCCUUUCCAGAUUUUAAAACCACCACCCAGUACCUUCGCCCUUGAACCUACAUGCCACAAGAGCUCAGCAACAUUAACACUAAAACCUUGGGAGAUUUAUGUGGCUGACCCUGGACUACCAGUGGGCGUCUGUUGAUCCAAAAGAUCUAAACAGUUUCAUAAGAUCCUCUUGAAGCUGCAUACAUGCCAAGGAUUGAGUGAAGAUCAUAGUUACGACCACAGGAGGAAAUCCUAUCAUUGUGAGCAGCUUUCACAGGAACGGCUCAUCAAGUAUUAGCAGUAAGGUCCUGGAGGCAUCGAAAACAAAUCCAUAUGCAGGUCCUUAUAAAAAAUACACAUUUAAAUACUUCCCCCUGCAUAAUAGAAAUCCUGCAUCUCACACAGCAACAUCUUUAUUUUCCUACAGUAUCAUCUGACCUGAUUUUCCUACAAAGAGAGUGAACUCUGGAGCCAGACAGGCUGGGAUCCAUUCUAGUUCUGCUGUGAGCCGUCUGUCAGGAGUCAGGCAAGUUCCUUGACCUUACUAUGCUUCAUAUGUGUCAUCUGCAACACAGGAAUUAGCUACCUUCCAAGUUGUUAUGGGGAUUACAGGCAUGCUAUAUCCAUAUUAG